CCCAAGGGGUCCUUAGAGCAAAGCACUUCAUCAGUCUCAAAAGGCACCUUUACCUGUGCCAUGAUCUGCCUACAUGUGCCUCCAAAUCCCCACAUCAGCAAGAGUACCUGUCACCCACUGGGGACUGCUGAAAUGCCUUCAGCAGGGAGUUCUGCUCAGAGCCUGGCUGGGGAGUAGAAGGCUACCUGGGCCCAGGAAUAAGCCACAACCCUGAGGCCCCAUAUAGGGCAUUUUAUGGUCCAAACAAGAGAAAAUGUUCUCAAUCUGUAGUCCAAACCUGUUACUCCAGCUACUUGGGAGGUUGAGGCAGGAUUAUUUCAAGGCCAACUUGUAUGUUGUGAGAUCCUACCUCAAAAUAAAAGUAAAAAUAGGCCUGGCUCAGGGAUGGAUGCCCAGUGAGGGGCUGAGGACGUGGUCAGUGGCAAGUAGUCACCUAGCAUGACACCAUCCUCAGCAGAGGCACUAGAAACAGCUCAGUUGAAAGCACACAUGGCAUUCCAGGAUUUGAAUGUGACCAGCACCCAUGUUGGCUGGUUUACAAUAGCUUGUAACUCCAGCUCCAGUGGAUCCAAUGCCCGUGAUUCCCUCAGACAACCCACACAUAUGGCAUAUAUUAAAAAUAGCUGGGCUGUGGUGAUGCAUGCCUUUAAUCCCAGCACUCAAGAGGCAGAGGCAAGAGGAUCUUUGUGGCCAGCCACAUACCCAGUGAGACACUGUCUGGAGAGGGAAGGAAAUGAGAUAGAGGAGAAAAAACAAGAGCUCUGGGGAGGCCCAAUGUCUGGCUAACAUCACUGGACAGUCUCCUGCCUACUGUCAACCCCUGCACACAUGAACUACGUUUUUUUCCAAAUGAGGGUUUCUCUGUGUCGUUUUGCAGACCAGGCUGGUCUCUUAACUGAGAUUCGCCUGCCUCUGCCUUGAGUGUUGGGAUUAAACGUGUGUGCCACCACUGUCCUGCUACACAUGAACUAUUUACCUGAGUAAAGCUAUUGAGGACAUCUCAGAGUACAUCUUUUGGGAACAUAACACCAUGCACGUGUGGUUGGGAAUGUUUGUCUCCCUCACCCAGGGUCCCCAGAUGGAAAGGGGGUUGGAGAAGCUUAUGUAGCACUACUGUUACUGAAGGUAUCCACAGCCUUUUGCUUUUGUCUGGCUGUGUAAUCCAGGAGGCUUAUAAUCGCAAUCUUCCUGCCCCAGUCUUCCUGACACUAGGAUGAUGGGCACAGCCUUGU
rnacentral:lncRNA from 1 species